AUGUUUUUGUUAUUGCAUUUCAGGUGGAGCGGGAGUAAGACCACUAGAAAGCAGCAUGCUGCCAGACCACCACAGGACCCUAGAGUACCUUUGAGGGGCCAGGAGCUGCUCUAUGCUGCUAUGCCCAUCAAUGGAGCUGUAGAAAAGACCUCACCUCCAGCCUCACCUUUUGCCUGCUCACCAACAGUUGUCAAUAGGGAGAACAGAAUAAGGUAGGUUUAGUCUGACUUGUUCAAACUUCAACACAAUAUCUAAGAUACACAAACAGGUACUAUCUAUCCUUGUAAUGGCCAGUGGUAAUAGAACAGUGAGUAUGUAUGUAUGUGUUCAUAGAAACAUGUAUGGAGGCAGCACAUGGAGACUUGGAAGAUGAUGUGAAGUCCAGACUGACAGGCGGGCUUGAUACUGAUGUCUCUGAAUGGAGAAAGACCUGGCACUCGGCAGUAACAUUUUACAAGACAACUUUUACCAUUUAAUUCAAUAAAAAAUAAAGGAUCAGACAAGAUGUGGAGGGAGAAACCCUGUGUUAUUCUGCACCAGGAUCAGGGAACUGCUGUUGUGAACAGGACACCACACAGGAAUUAUUAUAUAUUAUAAUAUUAUGUGAAGUGUUGUUUAUUCUACAUGGACCUGUGACUACAUCUGAAAGUUAGCAAAACACUUAGUUCAGAAUAUAUACAUAAAUUUAGCAAUUACAUUCAUCUCAUGUUACUCUUCAGGCUGCUGAUCUAUUCAAAGCUUCUCUAUAUCUGCCUGUAGUUAUUGAGCUCAACCUGCAGGAGGUGUGUUUGUUGUAACUGAGUGGGGGGAAACAGUUGUGGGCAAGGUUCUGACAGAUGGGUGUGUUUUGGUGGUGGCAAGGACAAACAAACACCUGCAUCAAACCACACCCCCAAGCCAACUCAGGUUUGGCUUCUGUCAUGGCCACCAGCAUUUCUUGAGGAGCAAGCCAAAAAACAAGGCCAAAUCAACAGGUGUAAUUCUCCUUUAAAUCAUCACACAAUCAUACAGUUGAUUUUAUUAAAACACUAUGUAUAAAAAAAAUUAUGUAAAAAAUGUCUACCAAUCGAUUGUCAAAAGAACAGACGACUCUCGGUCAACUAACUUUUCUUUCUUUUUUGUCGGGGACAGCCCUAAACUUUAUAAACUGCAAUCAUUUUCUCAUUACAAUUGUCUUGGGGGAAAAAAUGAAGUACAGUAGUUAAAUGGAAGUAAUAUACAUCAUAUAGCCUACACAAUAUGUAACAGACUUUAGGCUUAAAAUAUGCCUUAUAUAUCACAAUGUCUGGAUGCAAUAUUCUACCCAAGAAUAUUCAACACUGAAAUCUGUCACUCUCGUCAUUCCAAAUGCAUCUGUGGAUCUUUUCUGCGGACAAUACUGAAAAUGUAUCUUUGUCUUUAAUGCAGGGUUUGAUCUAAAAUGUCCGGAAGUUAUUUAGUGGAAUUUUUUUCUGCUGGUGUAUCCUGAGGUAUCUCCUCUGAGAACCUCUUCCCACUUUGCUUAGGAGGUGAACAGCCUUUCACCCAUGUGGACCUGAAGGUGCAUCUUCAGGUAGUUCUGAUGGGAAAACCUUUCUUACACUCGGGGCAGCUUUAAUAUUUCUCCCCUGUGUGGACCCUCCGGUGCCUCUUCAUGCUGGAUGAGUGGGAGAAGCGCAUAUGACACUGGGUACAGCUGAAGGGUUUCUCCCCUGUGUGGACCCUCUAGUGCCUCUUCAGAUUGCCAGCCUCAGCAAAACGCAUGUGACACUGGGAACAGCUGAAGGGUUUCACCCCUGUGGGGACCCUUUGGUGGAUCUCCACCUUCUGGAGGCAGCCAAAGCCUUUGUUAUAGAACAUGCAGAGGAACCGUUUCUCUUUACUAUUGCCUGAUGUUGCUCCCCCUCCCCUCCCCUUGGCCCUUUGAGUUCAAUACCUGAUCCAAAAGGACGCAGCCCUGUGAAUCGGAAGGCCCCAUCAACGUGGACACUGGGUCACGAUCCCUGAGCGUGUGUAAAGGGGAGUGGGCCGCAACAUUUGGAUUUGUCUCUAAGCUUUCCCUGUAAUCUAAGAAAUCUCUGCCUUGUGAGUGUCCUUCCCCUAAGUGAGUCUUGUCUGCGUUCAAGGUCAGAGGAGAGUCUCCAUCCACUUUGACUUCAUCUAUGACUAUAACCUCCCAGAGUAUACACUACUAGUAUAAUGGUUCCAGUCCCCCUCUUGACAGAUCAGCCUGUGUGUCUAAACCCAUGGACAUGUUGUCAGGGUCCAUCUCUGUAGCGUAAGAACAAGACGGAACAUCAACAC
rnacentral:lncRNA from 1 species